AUUUUGACAUAUCUCUACACUGAUAAUCGAGGUGAUUUAACUCUUGUGUUGGAUCUGCCUAGGGGGCAUUGUGACAUAUUUCUGCACUGAUCACCCUGGUGAUGGGACUCUUGUCUAGGCUCUGUGUAUGGGGGCUUUGUGACAUAUCUCUGCACUGAUGACCCAGGUGAUGUAAUGCUUGACUAGGCUCUGCCUACUGGCGCAUAGUGACAUAUCACUGCAUUGAUCACCGAGGUGAUGUAACUGUUGUCCAGGCUCUGCCUAUAGGGGGCCUUGUGACAUACCUCUGCACUGAUCAUCUAGGUGAUGUAACUCUUGCUUAUGCUCUGCCUGCAGGGGCAUUGUGAAAUAUCUCUUUACUGAACCACCAGGUGAUGUAAAUCUUGUCUAGGCUCUGCUUAAAGGGGCCUUGUCACAUAUCACUGCACUGAUCACCCAUGUGAUAUAACUCUUGUCUAGGCUCUGCCUAUAGUGGCAUUGUGACAUAUCUCUGCACUGAUCACCCAUGUGAUAUAACUCUUGUCUGGGCUCUGCCUACAGUGGCAUUGUGACAUAUCUCUGCACUGAUCACCCAGGUGAUAUAACUAUUGUCUAGGAUCUGCCUACAGGCUGCUUUGUGACAUAUCCCUGCAAUGAUCAUCCAGGUGAUGUACCAUUUGUCAAGGCUCUCCUUAAAGGGGCAUUGCGAUGUAUCUCUGCACUGAUCACCUAGGUCAUGUGACUCUUGUCUAGGCUCUGCCUGCAGUGGCAUUGUGACAUAUCUCUGCACUGAUCACCCAGGUGAUAUAACUCUUGUCUGGGAUCUGCCUAAAUGGACUUUGUGACAGAACCCUGCACUGAUCAUCCAGGUGAUGGGGCUUUUGUCUAGGCUCUGCCUACGGGGGCAUUGUGACGUAUUUCUGCUCUGAUCACCCAGGUGACGGACUCUUGUCUUGCAUCUGCCUAUGGGGGCAUUAUGACAUAUCUCUGCACUGAUCACCGAGGUGAUGUAACUGUUGUAUAAGCUCUGCCUACUUGUGAGUUGUGAGAGAUCUCUCCACUGAUCGCCCAAGUGAUUUAACUA
rnacentral:lncRNA from 1 species